rnacentral:rRNA from 1 species
AAGAAGCACCGGCUAACUACGUGCCAGCAGCCGCGGUAAUACGUAGGGUGCGAGCGUUAUCCGGAAUUAUUGGGCGUAAAGAGCUCGUAGGCGGUUUGUCGCGUCUGUCGUGAAAGUCCGGGGCUUAACCCCGGAUCUGCGGUGGGUACGGGCAGACUAGAGUGCAGUAGGGGAGACUGGAAUUCCUGGUGUAGCGGUGGAAUGCGCAGAUAUCAGGAGGAACACCGAUGGCGAAGGCAGGUCUCUGGGCUGUAACUGACGCUGAGGAGCGAAAGCAUGGGGAGCGAACAGGAUUAGAUACCCUGGUAGUCCAUGCCGUAAACGUUGGGCACUAGGUGUGGGGACCAUUCCACGGUUUCCGCGCCGCAGCUAACGCAUUAAGUGCCCCGCCUGGGGAGUACGG